GACGAACGCUGGCGGCGUGCCUAAUACAUGCAAGUAGAACGCUGAAGAGAGGAGCUUGCUCUUCUUGGAUGAGUUGCGAACGGGUGAGUAACGCGUAGGUAACCUGCCUUGUAGCGGGGGAUAACUAUUGGAAACGAUAGCUAAUACCGCAUAACAAUGGAUGACACAUGUCAUUUAUUUGAAAGGGGCAAUUGCUCCACUACAAGAUGGACCUGCGUUGUAUUAGCUAGUAGGUGAGGUAACGGCUCACCUAGGCGACGAUACAUAGCCGACCUGAGAGGGUGAUCGGCCACACUGGGACUGAGACACGGCCCAGACUCCUACGGGAGGCAGCAGUAGGGAAUCUUCGGCAAUGGGGGCAACCCUGACCGAGCAACGCCGCGUGAGUGAAGAAGGGUUUCGGAUCGUAAAGCUCGGUUGUAAGUCAAGAACGAGUGUGAGAGUGGAAAGUUCACACUGUGACGGUAGCUUACCAGAAAGGGACGGCUAACUACGUG
rnacentral:rRNA from 1 species